GCAGUCGUGGCCGAGUGGUUAAGGCGAUGAACUAGAAAUCCAUUGGGGUCUCCUCGCACAGGUUCAAACUCUGUCGACUGCG
rfam:Ixodes scapularis strain Wikel colony gcontig_1108379547629, whole genome shotgun sequence.